rnacentral:rRNA from 1 species
CAGUAGCCACGGUAAUACAGAGGGUGCAAGCGUUAAUCGGAUUUACUGGGCGUAAAGCGUGCGUAGGCGGCUUUUUAAGUCGGAUGUGAAAUCCCUGAGCUUAACUUAGGAAUUGCAUUCGAUACUGGGAAGCUAGAGUAUGGGAGAGGAUGGUAGAAUUCCAGGUGUAGCGGUGAAAUGCGUAGAGAUCUGGAGGAAUACCGAUGGCGAAGGCAGCCAUCUGGCCUAAUACUGACGCUGAGGUACGAAAGCAUGGGGAGCAAACAGGAUUAGAUACCCCCGUAGUCCCUGUCUCUUAUAC